AUUUAAAUAGUUUAAUAAAAACAUUGAUUUGUGGAAUCAAAGUUAAGAAAUUUCUUUUUAAAUA
rnacentral:tRNA from 1 species